GUGAAGGAUACCAUCUUCAUGUGAGCCUCCUGAGAUAUACGUGGAAAUGGAUGGAAACCAUUGAAGCAAUGAUGUCCUUUGUUCUCAUAGGAAGAUGAUUCUUGUGGUUCAGUUCUUUCACUUAACUGGCCCUCACUAGUCCUUCUCACAUUAAAACUUCAGGGACUGAUGGGGAACAGGCAUGUUCAGGCCUGUAAAGAAACACUUCUCACUGUAGGUACAAUAACUGCAACUGCCUCUGUACUGUUCCAGAAACCACCUGGUCCUAGGAAUGCCUGACCUAGGAAUUUCUUAGUGUCUUUUAAAUACUCCUCAUUGCAAUGUGCCAGUGUACUCAACAUUUAUUUAUUUAUUUUUUUUAUUUAUUUAUUUAUUUUUUUUUUUUUGGUAGAGAAAGGUCAAACAGUGUAUAAAAUAGCCACCAAAGCAACAUAUAUCCUCUAAGUAAGCCAAACACAUGACAAAAGUCCACACAAUCUAAUUGUAUGUACAUAUGGACAUCCAAGAAGCCCUGAAGAAAAAGACCAUGCUACAAGUCA